CCUACGGGAGGCAGCAGUGGGGAAUCUUGCGCAAUGGGCGAAAGCCUGACGCAGCCAUGCCGCGUGAAUGAUGAAGGUCUUAGGAUUGUAAAAUUCUUUCAGCAGGGACGCGGUACCUGCAGAAGAAGCCCCGGCUAACUUCGUGCCAGCAGCCGCGGUAAUACGAAGGGGGCUAGCGUUGCUCGGAAUUACUGGGCGUAAAGGGCGCGUAGGCGGGUCGUUUAGUUAGAGGUGAAAGCCCAGGGCUCAACCCUGGAAUUGCCUUUAAUACUGGCGGCCUUGAGUAUGGCAGAGGUGUGUGGAACUCCGAGUGUAGAGGUGAAAUUCGUAGAUAUUCGGAAGAACACCAGUGGCGAAGGCGACACACUGGGCAUACUGACGCUGAGGCGCGAAAGCGUGGGGAGCAAACAGGAUUAGAUACCCUUGUAGUC
rnacentral:rRNA from 1 species